rnacentral:rRNA from 1 species
UACGAAGGGGGCUAGCGUUGUUCGGAAUUACUGGGCGUAAAGCGCGCGCAGGCGGUUCUUCAAGUCAGUGGUGAAAGCCCGGGGCUCAACCCCGGAAUUGCCUUUGAGACUGCAUCGCUAGAAUUGUGGAGAGGUAAGUGGAAUUCCGAGUGUAGAGGUGAAAUUCGUAGAUAUUCGGAAGAACACCAGUGGCGAAGGCGACUUACUGGACACAUAUUGACGCUGAGGUGCGAAAGCGUGGGGAGCAAACAGG